AUUGAACGCUGGCGGCAUGCUUUACACAUGCAAGUCGAGCGGCAGCGCGGGGGCAACCCUGGCGGCGAGCGGCGGACGGGUGAGUAAUGCAUCGGAACGUAUCCCGUAGUGGGGGACAACCCAGCGAAAGCUGGGCUAAUACCGCAUAUGCUCUACGGAGGAAAGUGGGGGACCAGCAAUGGCCUCACGCUAUGGGAGCGGCCGAUGUCCGAUUAGCUAGUUGGUGGGGUAAAGGCUUACCAAGGCGACGAUCGGUAGCUGGUCUGAGAGGAUGAUCAGCCACACUGGGACUGAGACACGGCCCAGACUCCUACGGGAGGCAGCAGUGGGGAAUUUUGGACAAUGGGGGCAACCCUGAUCCAGCCAUGCCGCGUGCGGGAAGAAGGCCUUCGGGUUGUAAACCGCUUUUGGUCGGGAAGAAAGGGCUCUCUCUAAUACGGGGGGCUGU
rnacentral:rRNA from 1 species